rnacentral:rRNA from 1 species
GAGCGUUCUGUAAGCCUGCGAAGGUGUGCUGUGAGGCAUGCUGGAGGUAUCAGAAGUGCGAAUGCUGACAUAAGUAACGAUAAAGCGGGUGAAAAGCCCGCUCGCCGGAAGACCAAGGGUUCCUGUCCAACGUUAAUCGGGGCAGGGUGAGUCGACCCCUAAGGCGAGGCCGAAAGGCGUAGUCGAUGGGAAACAGGUUAAUAUUCCUGUACUUGGUGUUACUGCGAAGGGGGGACGGAGAAGGCUAUGUUGGCCGGGCGACGGUUGUCCCGGUUUAAGCGUGUAGGCUGGUUUUCCAGGCAAAUCCGGAAAAUCAAGGCUGAGGCGUGAUGACGAGGCACUACGGUGCUGAAGCAACAAAUGCCCUGCUUCCAGGAAAAGCCUCUAAGCAUCAGGUAACAUCAAAUCGUACCCCAAACCGACACAGGUGGUCAGGUAGAGAAUACCAAGGCGCUUGAGAGAACUCGGGUGAAGGAACUAGGCAAAAUGGUGCCGUAACUUCGGGAGAAGGCACGCUGAUAUGUAGGUGAAGCGACUUGCUCGUGGAGCUGAAAUCAGUCGAAGAUACCAGCUGGCUGCAACUGUUUAUUAAAAACACAGCACUGUGCAAACACGAAAGUGGACGUAUACGGUGUGACGCCUGCCCGGUGCCGGAAGGUUAAUUGAUGGGGUCAGCGCAAGCGAAGCUCUUGAUCGAAGCCCCGGUAAACGGCGGCCGUAACUAUAACGGUCCUAAGGUAGCGAAAUUCCUUGUCGGGUAAGUUCCGACCUGCACGAAUGGCGUAAUGAUGGCCAGGCUGUCUCCACCCGAGACUCAGUGAAAUUGAACUCGCUGUGAAGAUGCAGUGUACCCGCGGCAAGACGGAAAGACCCCGUGAACCUUUACUAUAGCUUGACACUGAACAUUGAGCCUUGAUGUGUAGGAUAGGUGGGAGGCUUGGAAGUGUGGACGCCAGUCUGCAUGGAGCCGACCUUGAAAUACCACCCUUUAAUGUUUGAUGUUCUAACGUUGACCCGUAAUCCGGGUUGCGGACAGUGUCUGGUGGGUAGUUUGACUGGGGCGGUCUCCUCCUAAAGAGUAACGGAGGAGCACGAAGGUUGGCUAAUCCUGGUCGGACAUCAGGAGGUUAGUGCAAUGGCAUAAGCCAGCUUGACUGCGAGCGUGACGGCGCGAGCAGGUGCGAAAGCAGGUCAUAGUGAUCCGGUGGUUCUGAAUGGAAGGGCCAUCGCUCAACGGAUAAAAGGUACUCCGGGGAUAACAGGCUGAUACCGCCCAAGAGUUCAUAUCGACGGCGGUGUUUGGCACCUCGAUGUCGGCUCAUCACAUCCUGGGGCUGAAGUAGGUCCCAAGGGUAUGG